CUUUUGUUUGGGCUUUUAUUUUUCUGGGCUUUGUAAAAAUAUAGUCCACCUAAAACUCUUCAUAAACAAUUGCAGAGAGAGGUUGAAUGAGUGAAAAAUGGAGCUAUCGUCUGACUGGAAAUCCCUCUUCCCAAUAUCAUCAGUUUUCAAACCUCCACUUCUCCUCACAGACUCAGACUCAGACUCAAAACCCAUAUUGGGUCCGCUCUUCUUCAACCCUAAACCCAAAACCCUUUCUCUUCUCUUCACCUCUCCAUCUCUCCCAAACGCCGCACCACCUUUCCUCCAAACCCAAACCCACAACCUCCUCUCCUUCCUUCGCCUCCCUCUUUCCAACUCCCUCCUUCUCUUCUUCCCCACCGGUCCCAACUCCGACCGGCUCGGCUUCUUGCUUCUCUCUAUCAAAGCUUCCCGUUUCGACACCUGGGGCGCCAAAGACGAUGACGUUUUACAUGAAAGUACCGGGUUCGAGUACCGCAUUCUCAGGAUCGCGGUUAACCCCAACCCCAACCCUUUUCCCUUUCCAGGUAAUAAUCGUAAUCAUUCCACUGUUGUUGGGUAUUUGCUGGCUUCUACAUUGUGCUCUGUGCAUUGGUUUGUUGUUCAGGAAAUUCAUAAUUCUGGUAAAUUUCCCAGAGUUUCUUGUUUAGGUUCUAAGGUUUUUAAGACUAGUUCUGUUGUGUAUGCUUGUUGGAGUCCGCAUAUACCCGAGGAGAGUGUAGUUUUGUUAGAAAGUGGUGCUUUAUUCUUGUUUGAUUUGGAGUCUUGUUUUAGAAGAAGCAGGACUUCCAAUUCCAAUGCGCGUUUUAGAGGGACUAAGUUGCCUGUAUCGUGGGAUGCUGAUGCUGAUUCGGGGAACUGUAAAUGGUUGAGCUGUGAAUUCAGUUGGCAUCCUAGGAUUUUGAUUGUUGCCCGGUCUGAUGCUGUUUUCUUGGUCGAUUUGAGGUUUGAUGGGUGUGCUGUGAGUUGUUUAGCUAAGGUUGAGAUGUUGAGGAUGUAUACUUCGGUCCAAAAUGAACGGUUCCUUACGUUUACAAUGGCGGGAUCUGAUGGUUUCUGUUUUGCAUUGGCCUCAGAUAGUUUGUUGGUUCUUUGUGAUGUGCGGAAACCAAUGAUGCCACUGUUGCAAUGGGCUCACGGUCUUGAUAAUCCGUGCCAUAUUAAUGUAUUUAGAUUGUCGGAAUUGAGAUCAAACUCAAUGGAUGAUAAAUAUAGGUGGGCUUCUGAAUCGGGUUUUUGUAUUAUAUUGGGAUCUUUUCGGAAUUGUGAGUUUAAUCUAUUUUGUUAUGGACCUACUUUACCAACCCUGAGAGGAUCCAUUGUUUCUGAAGUUUCGAAAGUUUUGAAAACCCAUUAUGCGUGGGAGCUCCCUUCAGAUCUCUUAUUGUCGGGUCGUGAGUGUCAAUGUGGAAGUUGUCUUGUGAGAGAGGAGAUUUUGAAGGAUGAUCUUCCUGAAUGGAUUGAUUGGCAGCAUAAGAAAGAAUUGGCUUUGGGUUUUGUCAUUUUAGACAAAGAUCUAUCAGCAAUGCUUUCUGAAUCAAAUGAAUUUGGUGGUUUUACAUUGAUAAGACUUAUGUCAUCAGGGAAGCUUGAAUCACAAAGCUAUUGUGCCUCGUGGAAGUUGAAAGAACUUCACACAGAACGGUUCCAUUUUAAAGAUAAUUCCCUGUAUAUUAUGGAUGAUGAGGAGUACAAAUUUCCUAGAAGAUUUAAGUACGUGAAACUUGAUAAACUCUCUGCAUAUUUGAAUGGUAGUCUAACUGAAGUCCUGGUUUCAAAAUUUAAAAAGCCUUGCAAGGGUCCUCGAGAAAAGGAAUCUUUUAGCUCAGACUCUCAUGAAAUCUUGUGUGAGAAGUUGAAGGCUUGUGGGUUCGGGCGAUUGAGAUCGUCUCCUGCAGUUUCUGCUAUUUUUAAUGACAUCAGCUCGCCAGCAAGCAUACAUGAGGUUGCUUUGAGAAGGUUGUGGGCAGGCCUGCCAAUGGAACUCUUACAACUGGCCUAUUCCAACUACUCAGAGUUCCUUGAGGUACUUUUGGACCAGAAAAAAGUAUCUUUGGAAUUUCUAGUUGUCCCUGACCUACCUCAAUUGCCUCCUUUCUUCCUAAGAAGGCCUUCAUGCCGUAGCAAUAAGUGGUCACACAAAGUGCAGCGGGAUGAUGCUCUAGUGGGCCCAGUACUUCCUCUUCCUAUUUUACUUACACUUCAUGAGUAUCGUAAUGGCCAUUCAGAAUUGGAAGAAGAAGCAGGUGUAUUUUCUUUAGAGAGGGAAAUUAGCCUGCAAUGUGAUGAAAUCAAGCAGGUGGCCAGUGAAAUGGCCUCGUCAGAUUCUAGUUGUGAGCUUCAUGGCGACCAAGCUGUCUCCCUUGCUGAUGAAAGAGAAGAUAUCUGGGGCAGUUCUCAAAAACCAAAACCUUUUUGUUUAUACCAUCCAGUUGCAUUUAAGUGCUCUACCAUGGAUCAUGCACAGGACAAUGUCUUUAAGGAUGAGAAAUUUGAUAACCUGAUUUUUAAAGUGCCUGAGAAGAAGCAUGUUCCUAAUGGCUUGGUGGAAACCGUUGGACCAGAACUGUUCGAUGAUCUCUGCCCCAUUGAUUUGAGAUUUGAUACUUCUGCCAAGAACUUUGGGCCAAAUGAAAUAAAGAUAUACAAAGUUUUGAAGAAGAAAUGGUCUAAAUGGCAAGACGGAUUUAAUUUAUAUCAACAAUUUUGCACAGAGUCUAAAUUCCAAAAGCAAUCGGCAUGACAGUUAGAUUUUCUCCCCAAAUUUUGUAAACAUUCCCUUCCCAAGUUUUUUUCUCCCAUCUCUUCUUCUUUUCUUUAUUUUUUUUUUCCCUCCUUUUAGUUUUAUUUAGAAAGAAUGAGGAAAAGAUUAUAUGUGAUCUGAUGAAACUUCAGAAACUGCUUUUGUACAGAAUACAUCAAGAAAUAUUUUUUAGUUUUCUGAGAAUCAGAAGAUGAUUUUAGUGAUAUGAUGGCAGCUCUGAAUUUUUUUCAUUGUUGUGAUUUGUAAGUUCCUACCUUUUUAUGUAAAAAUAUGCCAGGCCAUGUCUGUUGGUGUACACAAUAUCUUUUGGCCCUUAUUUGGACAUGCACCAGCUCAAUUUGACACUGACUUUUGAUGCAUUACAAUUUUGGCCUUCUCAAUACCAAAAGGGGUUCAGCCAGGACAACUUCUGGUUCUAAGAGGCAAAGUAUCAUCCGGACGUAUGCAGAGGAAGCAAUUGUGGAGUGCAGUUUCACAAAAUCAAUGAAGCUUAUGAUUGAAAUAAAUGAACGCCAGUGUGCUAUACUUGAAGAAUUAGCGGAGGAGGAAAUAAAUUCCUCAAACGGUAACUCAGCUGAAGGAAAUUGGCUUUACCAGCAGCUAUCUACUGGUUGAACUUACAGGUGGCAGCAAAUUCUUGAACGUAUAACGGGUCCUAGGUUUAUGCUUGAACUAUCUCUAUUCAUGUUGAUCCUGCUGUUCCUGAACAAAACCAUGGGCUGAUAGCUGACCAAGGUGAUUUUGAUGAAGAUAUUUGGACUAAAGCCUUAAUGAAACAGGAUCGCUGCCUUUGUCAAACUUCGGACUUUUGUUGAUAAAAGGUUCACAAUCAUUCCCUAUACAUUUUUUUCCCAUUCUCAAUGUAUUUGCAGGCUCAAUGUUUGCUAUUGAAUCCCUUAUUUUUUGGUUUCAGGUCCUGUGUUUGUACACACAUACUAUUGUUGUAUAGAACUAGUUAUAUUUUGAUUAUAUUAUAAUAAUAAUGUUCAUCUA